CAAGGGUGGGUGUCUGCUGAGCGGCCGGAGAAACAUAGAUCCUAACCACACACCCCCGUUAACCGUCGACAGCCGCUGAAGUGGACUGUGAGACACGACAGACGUACAAGAAGAGGAAACACUAAAAAAGAGCAGGUUUCCGCUGGAACCCCAAAGAUUGAGAGGAUUAUUCAUAAAUAAAGGCUUUCUUAUUCUUACUUGGCAAAGACCAGUUUUUGCUCUGAUAAAAUUUCCACAACAAGCUGCUUUAACAUGAGAUGAGGACAGUCUGCAUGUCGGAGACCCCAAGGGCAGGCUGACGGGCACAAACAUACACUGAUGCACACACGUGUACAAAUAGAAACGCUUGCAGAAACAGAACGCUUAACGACUUCCAGCAGUGUGCACUGACGUCAGUGCGAUUUCGGACAACUGUUACAGGCAGCGGGUGCUCAAGCCUUCCCACAGCCUACUGCGAGGCCGGGAGUCUGAGCUGUGAGGAGGUGCGCUGAGGACAGCAUGCAGGUCAGCGGGAUACCAAAGUGGGAGGGGACCCGAUGGAGGGGAGGGUAAGAAGCCAAACAUCAUGGUAAAUAUAGAAGCUCCGGCAUUUUUGCGGCUCUAUCCACGAGUCCCGAGCUACUCCGUUUAUUCUUAACAAUUCACCACAGAAUGUAAAUGUCCACAGAAUUUGUGCAAGCCAUACAA